rnacentral:rRNA from 1 species
UGCAAGUCGAGCGGACAUAUGGGUAUGUCGGCGGCUGACGGGUGAGUAACACGUGGGAACGUACCUUUUGGUUCUGAACUGCUGACGGAAACUUCAGCUAAUACCGGAUAAGCCCUUACGGAGAAAGAUUUAUCGCCGAAAGAUCGGCCCGCGUCUGAUUAGCUAGUUGGUGAGGUAAUGGCUCACCAAGGCGACGAUCAGUAGCUGGUCUGAAAGGAUGAUCAGCCACAUUGGGACUGAGACACGGCCCAAACUCCUACGGGAGGCAGCAGUGGGGAAUAUUGGACAAUGGGCGCAAGCCUGAUCCAGCCAUGAAUCUUGACUGAGGAAGGCCCUAUGGUUGUAAAACUCUUUUGUGCUGGAAAAUAAUGACGGAUCCGCAAGAAUCUGUCCCGGGUAACUUCAUGCCCCCAUCCGCUGUAAUACGAACGGGGCUAGCCUUGCUCAGAAUCCCUGGGCUUAAUAGGUGCCAACGCCGGUCUUUAUAUCAAGGGGGAAAUCCUGGACCUCAACUCCUGAACUGCCUUUGAUACUGAACAUCUUGAUAUCUGGAAAGGUGAAUGGAACUGCUAAUGUAGAGAUGAUAUUUGUAUAUAUUCGCAAUAACACCCAUGGCAAAGGUGGCUCACUGGCCUUAUACUGACGCUGAGGCACGAGAUCUUGAGGAGCACUGAUGAUUAGAUAUUCUGGCUGUCCACGCCUGAAACGAUAAGUGCGAUUCCUUGCUGAGCUUACUCGCUAAUAGCGCAUGUUACGCUUUAAUGAUUCCGCUUAGUGAGUAGUGUCGCA